ACAAACACGAUGACGGAGAGAGUACGCAUUGCUUUUCUUUUACAGAGAAAUUCCGGUGGCUGAGAGGAAUGAAGAAAACUUUGAGGAAGAUGGCUCCUGAGAGGUGCACCGAACCUGUAAUUUAGUAAAAUCAGGUAAGGCUGCAACAGGUUCCGCCUGUUAUAGCGGGAGAGGUGUGAAAGCACCCAUUAAGGUCUUGGCUGUGAGGCUAAGAUAAAAAGAAGUGGUAACACGGGUAUAUAGCUCGUCUUCUUU
rnacentral:ncRNA from 1 species